GUGUUGUCUUUAGCAGUACAUAUAGUAGAAUUAGAAUUAUACAAAGAUUAGCAUGACCCCUGCUCAAGGAUGACACACAAAUUCAUGAAGCAUUCCAUAUUUAA